AUAGUACUCCUUCCGUCUAAAAAUACUUGUCAUCAAAAUGAACAAAAAGAAUGUAUCUAGAACUAAAAUACAUCUAGUUACAUCUCCUUUUAUUCAUUUUAAUGACAAGUAUUUUCGGACGGAGGGAGUAGUAA
rnacentral:pre_miRNA from 1 species